rnacentral:rRNA from 1 species
GUUCUUAGUCUACGGCCUGAACGAGCCCAAUCCCAUCUGAUCUUGGAAGCUAAGCAGGGUUGGGCCUGAUCAGUACUUGGUGGGAGACCACCUAGGAAGACCAAGUGCUGUAUGUG